AUAUAUAUAUAUAUAUAUAUAUAUAUAUAUGACAAGAAAAGAAAUCUUGAUUCAACAACACUCUUCUCCUCACAAGAGCUUGCGCAUACAGACACACACACCCCUUUCUCAACACACACACACAAGCAUUCAGGAGAAUCAAAAUUAGUUGUGACAGCUGAAAUUCUGUACUCAUCUAAGGACAUUUUGACAGGGAGACCAGACUCAUUUCAAAUGGCUGCCUCAGAGAAAUAUACUACACCUUUUUCUGGCAAGGAGAGCAUCCAGAAGAACCACGUAUUCACGGUGUAUGCUUCACAAUGAAGAACUCCCUUCUGUCUGUGAUAAAGGGCUCAGAACAUUUGUUUUCCCUCCACUUCUCAAUUGCCUUCAUUUUGGUUAACAUCUUGAGCAUCCAAGACAGACGGAUGUCAACAAGGACCAAAACUCAGGCAUCCUUUGAAAUUUGCACUUCUCUGAAUUUUCCAGUGUGGUUUUCCUGCCAAAUAAUGUGUUUUUAAAAAUGUAUAUACUGGGGCAAAGUGCCCAUAAAAAUUAAUCCCCCCUGCCAUGAAAAUAACAUGAAAAUGCUUUAUUUUAGGGUAAAUGGCUUUGGAAAAAUAUGUCUAUUAGGGGAAAUUGCAGCUUGUAAACCACUUAAAAGUUCUGUCGGCGAUCAAGCGUUAUAUACAUUAUAUACAUUUUUUAAAAAUUAAAAUAAAUCAAUGAAAUAGAA